GUUGUGUGUUGCGCUGGGGAGCGCAGCCACGUGUCCGGCUCCGCACAGAGCCCAACACCAUGUUCUGAGCGGUGGGGCACCUCCCGGACUAAGGGUCCAUUUCACUGACUGUGAGAAGCUGGAAAUGUCCCAGUGAUCCUGUAACUGCUGGGAAGUUUCUCCUGGGCUCAUGAGUUACAAUGAAGAUGAGGAUUUCCUUCCACUCGCAUUGUGCCAUGGGCAACCCCUCUCUGUCCAGUUACCUCCUUUUCUUUUUUACGGUCCAUGUUUCUACAUUGGAAUCAGUGAAUUUCAAGGUGAUUGGACCUGAUCAUCCCAUCAUGGCCUCUGCAGGUGAAGAUGCCCUGUUACCCUGUCACCUAUUCCGUAACACAAGUGCUCAGAAGAUGGAGGUGCGCUGGUACCGAUCCAAGUUCUCUGAACCUGUCCACCUGUAUCAGAAUGAAAAAGAUCAGGCUGAGCAGCAAAUACCAAAUUAUCAGGGCAGAACAGAGCUGCUGAAGGAUGGUAUUGUGGAUGGAAGCGUUGUCCUGCGUAUACACAACAUCACCCCCUCUGACCAUGGGCAGUUUAUCUGUUUCUUCCGAUCAAGCAGAUUUUAUGCGGAAGCCACUCUGGAACUGAAGGUGACAGAAUGCAUAUCACCAAGUUAUACUACAGGAGGACAGAGAGAUCUCACAGCAUUAUUACACUUGAGGAUCUAUUCCACUUGAAACAUGCACCAUACGGACUUGUAUUGGCACCCAGCAUUUUCCAAAGAAUAAUGUCAGUGAUUCUGAAGAAUCAGCCUGGAGUCCAGUAUUAUUUGGAUGAAAUUAUUGUGUUUGGGAAGACUUGCGAGGAACAUGAAAAACAUUUCCAUGCAGUACUAAAUAGGGUGACCAGACAGCAAGUGUGAAAAAUCAGGACAGGGGGUGGGGGUUAAUAGGAGCCUAUAUAAGAAAAAGACUCAAAAAUCGGGACGGUCCCUAUAAAAUCGGGACAUCUGGUCACCCUAGUACUAAACCACAUCAAAACUGCAGGGCUGAAACUGAAUUUCGCCAAAUGCCAAUUCUGACAAACAGAGUUGUUAUUUCUGGGGCACAUAAUUUUGGAGACUGGAUUGAAACCUGACCUGGACCACAUCAUGGUGGUUAAAAACCACCACCUCCAAGAGACACACAAACCUUACAUGCUUUCUUAGUUUUUAUCUCAUGGUAUGCCAAGUUUAUUCUGAACAACACUUCAGUCACCGUUACAAACAUACUCCAGGGAAUCUUGAGCUUGGCCUGGAUGACUGUUGCACAAGUUGUUUUGAAACAGUGAAAGAUUUGAUUGAAAAUAGUCCAGCACUUGCAUUGUUUGACCCUGCCUUAGACUACAGACUGUGAGCAACACUUACUCAAAUCCAGGAUGACAACAUGGAGGACACUGUUGCAUUUGCUUGAAGAACACUUACAGAAGCUGAGAGGAAGUAUUCAUCUGUUGAAAAGAAAGCACUUGCUUGCUAUGGACUAUGGAAAAAUGGAGAACUUAGCUCUGGGGCCAGCCUUUCAAGUCGCAUACAGAUCAUAGCUCUUUGACGACACUGUUAACUUCUAAAGGACUUGGAUGAGUGGGAGGCCAGAUUGCUAGAUGGUCAGCAAGACUACUGUCUUUCAUGUAUGUCACAGAAUAAAGGCUGGGAAUUCAAAAUGUGA